AAAAAAAAAACCAAGGCGGUCGCCUUUCAUAACAAGUCGUCCAAGGCGACCAAGGCGACGCCUUUAUACCAAAGGCAACCGCCUUUUAUACUUCAGCAAUGGUGUCCCUCGCCCUGGUCCUAAAAAACCGCUUGGACGCCAAGGCGUCGCCUUGACAACUAUGAAUUGGUGUUUGAUCCAAUUGACUCUUUGCGGUGUGAAGUUCAAGAGGUCUCUUCAACUAUUCUUUCUUUCUUUUCAAAGUUAAUUGCAAGGUUCUUCAAACUAGGUAAGUAAUCUGAAUUUUUCUGCAAAAUUUCUGGGUUAAGCUCUCUGUUUCCUAUUAUGUCGACCUAGUCUAUUUUGGAGUUUUGGCCACCCGAUUGCUUUGAGAUUUUGGUCAAUUGUUAGGACCAUUAAGAAGGGGACUCGAUCCAAUUUUGAGACAGAUCAGACCUCUGGUUCAGUUGUUGUGUAGUGAUCUGCAGUCCUGACCGAUAAUGGAUUCUGCCCAGAAAUUCUUGUAUGAUUUCUGAUUCCUGUUGAGGUUGGUUGUUGCUUAUAUUUUCUCAAGGGAUUAGACCUUCUAAUCAGUAUUUAGACUUGCUACUUGUUCCUUAAACAUCUACUGCUGAAGUUUCUGAAGUAUUAGAAUCGAUGGUCAGGUUUCAGAUUCUGCUGUGCAGAAUUGAGUCUUGAUUUGAUUUGUCUAUUCUGGUUGUUCUUAGUUUAAAAGUUCCUGCAGUUUGGGGCUGGUUUGGUUGUCAAAUCCAUUCCUACAUUACCCCCUAAGAAGUCUCUCAUUGGAAUUGAGGUCAGUUGAUUUGUUGUUCUCUAUGGUCAGCAGUGUUUAUAUUUGCUCAAUUUGUAUAAAGCAUAAAAGAAGCCACACAAAGGCCAGAUUCCCCUACUAUUGCUUUUACUAUGUUCGAGUGCUUCUUCGACAACAUUGAAUCCUCAUCUAAGGGUGACUAAAUCUCUUAGUUUUGAUAGCUUCGCACUAGAUGCGGUUCUGUUUGUUGCGUUGUAAAUUUUUUCAUACAAAUGAUAUUUUACAUGAAUUUUUUUUUUAAUUUCUUACAUUUUUCGUCAAUACAAAUAGUGGAAAACUAUUUUACAGAUAUUUUUUCCUUUUCGGUUUUCACCUCAGAAACAAACAUGGGAUUCACAAAAGGGAACGUGGCUUGGGACAUUUGUAACGAAAAUGGUGCUUUUAUUUUGGCAGGUACACACUAUAGAUGCUUUAGUGCUCCAAUAACAACAACAAUAGCAUAAGCAAUUAAGCAAGGAUUGAAGUUGGCAAGGAAGAAAGAAAUCCUAUGGUCGAGUGCGCCUAGUUGGAGUUGGGAUAAGCCCAAAAGACCUUGAUUCGUCAAAAAAUAAUACCGCAUUCAACUGGAAGAACAAGGAGCUGCAAAAUAAAGUGGAGAUGCUAGAGGAGAAGAUGGAAUUAAAGAAGAAGAAGAAUGAAGAUGUGAUUAGCAGUAUGCAAUCACAAACUGAAAAACUUACCCAACUCUUCAUGAAUAGAACCUUACAGGAUUCAGUUAAUCUAGAUAAUGUUUAGCACUUCUAAAUUUUGAUGUAAGAGACUAUAGUUUUAUAGAUAACGAUAUCCAAUCAUCUUCUGUUUUGAAAAACCAGGAUGUAACUAAUCGAGAUUUCAGCUUCUAUAUGAAUCUUAUACAUUUUCUACUGUUGGGUCAGACAAUUCUUCCUCUUAUAAAUGAAAGUAUAUAUGUCAACACAUUUUCUGUUAUACAUGUGUUGCUUUACAAA